UGAGAACCUGGCCGGGUUAAAGUUAACUUUGAACGCCUGUUGUGCUGGUUCCGCAGCGGUCCACUGAAACUUAAGAGGUUUAAGAGUUAAGAGGUGUUGGCUAGCUAACCUGUGGUUAAUGGUAGUUAGCGUUAAGUCUCCAGCCCUGUGAUGUCUCCUUUCUGUUUCUUUAGGAGUUAGAGGCCAGUGUUAUUGCUGCUGCACAAGGCCUGAUAAACGCGCUAAGGCAAAACAUUCAGCAGCAUCACAUACCAGCACAGCAGAAUCCAGUGCAGUCACAUGAGCACCAGAGUCGACAAGCACAAACAACAUAACAAACUGUGCAGGACGAGAUGGCCAGAUAAAUGAAAUUCUCAUUGAAGAAUAUCCCAAAAUGGAGGGGGUGGAUGGAAGCCAUGUUCUACAAGGCUUCAGGUGGCCACGGUAGAAGAAAAUUGCUUGCCAUUCCUCCUGAUGUAGACGGUUAUACGGUAGACUGAUUCGCAGUGUUUCGGGUGCUUGGAACACGACCAUGUACAUUGUUCCACUGCAGCAGGACCUUGAUCUUACUCCACUGCCAUCGGAUGCCACUGAAUUUCAAAAAAUGCCAAGGGCUGCAUGCCAAGUGUGCAAAGAAAACAUGCCUCUGCAUAUCCUAGCAUUGCACAUCGAGGGUUGUAUGGAGUCUGCAGCAGAUGAUGAUGACGUCAGAAUGAAGACCAGCAAAUGUGUGAGCCUCUGACCCAAGAGGAGCUGCUAAGUCAAGAAGGGCACUGGAAUCGACAGUGAUGCAGUGGUUAACUGGACAAAGGCACAAGCCCUUUCUCCCAUCAGAGAGGGCAGAUUUUAAAAUAAAUCUAAGAUUUGAACACCACUUUAAUGAAAAAAUGCCUGGUCACCACAUUUGUUUCCCACUUGUAAGUGCCUGCACAAUACAAUAACUAUUCCUGUUGAACAUAUGAAAACAUACAAGGAGUUCAGAGAUAUAAUAAUAAUAAACAGUAGCAAUCAGAAUGGGUAGAGUCUUCGGGUGAGUGUAGAGGUCAUGUUUGUUGUGAAUUUUUUUGGCAUUUCUAAUGGCAUUUUUGUUAAAUCUGUUCAGUGAGCUUUUUAUUAUCCUGUGAGAGUCUUAAAAAAAGACAGCUAGCACAAGUCAAACCAUAAAAAUAGCUCAACAUUAGUAUUUGGUUCUCCCACUGCAUUGUUUUUUUUGCGACCACUACUAACAAUUUAUUUGAAAAAGGGUAAUUUAAGAACUCUGUAUUUGCAUUUUUUUUUUACAGAGCACUGACAAAUGUACAUGUAAUGUAAAACCUUGAUAUGUUCCUCAAUUCAGCGUUACUUGUACUAUUGAAAAGUUGAAUGUGUAUGUCUUCCACAUACACAUUAGUUUCAACACGUGUAUGGCAAAUUCAUGUCAUUCAAGUGGAAUCAACUUUGUUUGGGUUUACAUUUACUAAAUUGUCAGCAAAAAUUGACACCAAAAACUUGGUUGAUGU